rnacentral:rRNA from 1 species
AACGGGGAGAAGAACUAACAAGGAUUCCCCUAGUAACUGCGAGUGAAGCGGGAAAAGCUCAAAUUUAAAAUCUGAUAGUCCCUGUGGCUGUCCGAGUUGUAAUCUAGAGAAGUGCUUUCCGCGUUGGACCGUGUACAAGUCUCUUGGAACAGAGCAUCAUAGAGGGUGAGAAUCCCGUCUUUGACACGGACUACCAGUGCUUUUGUGAUGCGCUCUCAAAGAGUCGAGUUGUUUGGGAAUGCAGCUCAAAAUGGGUGGUAAAUUCCAUCUAAAGCUAAAUAUUGGCGAGAGACCGAUAGCGAACAAGUACCGUGAGGGAAAGAUGAAAAGAACUUUGGAAAGAGAGUUAAACAGUACGUGAAAUUGUUGAAAGGGAAACGCUUGAAGUCAGUCACGUUGGCUAGAAAUCAACCCUUCAUUGAAGGGUGUACUUUCUGGCUUUACGGGUCAACAUCAAUUUUGACUGUUGGAUAAAAUUCAAUAUUUAUGCAUUUUCGGAUGUAUAGCCUUUGAUUGCAUACAACAGUUGGGAUUGAGGAACUCAGCAUGCCGCAAGGCCGGGUACAUUGUGACACCUUCCUUCUUAAGGAGGUGGGCUUAUGGCUUUAAUUCAACCCGUCUGGAACCAGGGACCAGGGAGCUUAACUUGCCCGGGAUGGUUGGGGUGUUAACCCCGAGCGCGAAAUGAAGUUGAUUGUGGAGAUCUCUGUCUUGAAAAGCAUCGACGCCCCGGACAAACCUUUUGGUGACGUUUCGGCGGUAGAAGCGUUGUAUUGUUGGGGACCCCGAAAGAUGUGAACUAAUGCCUGGAUUAGGUGAAGCCAGGAGGAAACUUCUGGUGAGCUUCGUAGCGAUUCUGACGUGCAAAUCGAUCGUCGAUUUGGGUAUAGGGCGAAGACUAUCGAUCAUCUAGUAGCUGUCUGCGAGUUUCCUCAGAUAGCAGAACUCAUAUCAGAUUAUGUGUAAGCGAUGAUAGAGCUGGUA